AAAAAAUAAAUAAAUAAAACAACUUCAAUGAGAAUUAUUUUCCCAAACGAAACUACAAUGUUCCGAACAAGCCUACAAAUCACCAAAACAUCACGGACAAUGAGAUGGAAGGAAGAAGGGUCCGGCAUGCCGGCCGGCUGGCCGUCCGGGCGAUGUUGGUGGAGAUACGCAAAAAUUGCGACGUUAUUUAAAAACGAUACGUUUCAGAUGUUGAAGAUUCACAAGGCAUUUGGACGGCAGACGACAUGGAACAGCUCACACAGAAAUCGGCAACAAAAAAGCUUAAUGGAUGACAAUAACAACAACAACAAGAAAGCUAGAGAAAACGUUGAAAAAAAAAUAAAAACAAAAUUUGCAAAUAAAACCGCAACCGGUCGGUCUGUCGGUCGCUCACUCGCUCGGUCUAAUGUUAAAAAAUUGUAAAUUAAUAAAAGCCAGCAGCGGCAGCAGCAACAACAAUGUGGACCUGCGAUCGCACGUUCACUCACACACACACACAUGAACUCGGCUAAGUACACAUGUGCCACCAUAAACAGCAUAGAAAGCAACAACAACAAUAAGAAUGAAAAAAAAAAAAAUAACAACAUCUAACGAAAGUCCCAAAUGCAUGUCCGCACACACACACACACACACACCAAUACUCCCACUCAUGCUCAGUCCGUCAGUCUGUCGUACCGCCAUCAGCCAGCCAGUCAAGCCAUUUGAUUCACAACAAACUAUCCCUCCAUCCAGCCAAGACACAACUAACACACAUUCCAAAUGGCAUUCUCACCAGCCAGCCAGACGGUGGCACCGAACGACCGACCGACCCAUUCACGUUCGAAACGACAAACCAGGCAACCUACGAACCAUACCAACAAACAGCAUGCCAACAUGCACUAACGAACAGGUCCCCCCCAAUGGGCUCCCUCCACCACACAGUCAACCAGCUCCACACAACACAACUUUUUUCGAACAGAAAAGCAACAACAACACAAGCCAAAACGCGCCCCAACGUCAAACUUAACAUCACAGAGACAAACAGACAGACAGACACAAAGUCGGUCUAACGAACAUUCAUUGAGACUCGUCAAAUUUUGUAUUUGGCUCCGCUUCGUUCACAAUUCACACUCGUCCCGCAUUAGCAGCGGCAGCAACAACAAAUCCCAGCCAGGCUAUUUUUAGCAAAUUCUCUCAUCAUCACUUUGCCGCGAUUUGCCAGCGAUCUCGUUAUGGCCAACGCUGAUUGGCUGGAAAAUUGUGGCACUCGCGAAUGUUGGCAGAGGUAUUCAAACGACAACCAGUUUGUUUUUCUUUCUUUCUAGCCCAGCGAGAGGGACCGGCGAGGGACAGCAACUGGGGCUGGGGAGCUCUUAUGGCAAAUAAUCGCAUACA